rnacentral:rRNA from 1 species
CCUACGGGAGGCUGCAGUGAGGAAUAUUGGUCAAUGGACGAGAGUCUGAACCAGCCAAGUAGCGUGAAGGAUGACUGCCCUAUGGGUUGUAAACUUCUUUUAUAUGGGAAUAAAACGUUCCACGUGUGGGAUUUUGUAUGUACCAUAUGAAUAAGGAUCGGCUAACUCCUUGCCAGCAGCCGCGGUAAUACGGAGGAUCCGAGCGUUAUCCGGAUUUAUUGGGUUUAAAGGGAGCGUAGGUGGAUUGUUAAGUCAGUUGUGAAAGUUUGCGGCUCAACCGUAAAAUUGCAGUUGAUACUGGCAGUCUUGAGUACAGUAGAGGUGGGCGGAAUUCGUGGUGUAGCGGUGAAAUGCUUAGAUAUCACGAAGAACUCCGAUUGCGAAGGCAGUUCACUGGACUGCAACUGACACUGAUGCUCGAAAGUGUGGGUAUCAAACAGGAUUAGAUACCCUUGUAGUC